GGGCCUGUGGUAUAGCGGUAACACAUCUCCAUGGCAUGGAGAGGUCAGGGGUUCGACUCCCCUCAGGUCCACCA
rnacentral:tRNA from 1 species